rnacentral:rRNA from 1 species
GUCUCAAAGAUUAAGCCAUGCAUGUGUAAGUAUGAACAAAUUCAGACUGUGAAACUGCGAAUGGCUCAUUAAAUCAGUUAUCGUUUAUUUGAUAGUACCUUACUACUUGGAUAACCGUGGUAAUUCUAGAGCUAAUACAUGCUAAAAACCCCGACUUCGGAAGGGGUGUAUUUAUUAGAUAAAAAACCAAUGC